GUAUAAAUUUUUAUAGCCAACCAUUCUAUCAACAUACAUUGGGGUGUAAAUGUAGCAACAUAGACCUGUGAAGGUCUACAAAAGGUGCACAGGUGGAGAUAUAAAGAUGACAAGGUGUGCACAUGCUCCCUGGAGAGCCAGCAACAACCCAUCAGGUUUAUUUCAAUAAUGAUCCUUCCGCAGGUUCACCUACGGAAA
rnacentral:misc_RNA from 1 species